AUACUUACUAGGCAGGGGAGAUGCCAUGAUCAGGAAGGUGGUUUUCCCAGGGUGAGGCUUAUUCAUUGUACUCUAGAUGUGCUGACCCCUGCGAUUUUCCCAAAUGCGGGAAACUCGACUGCAUACAUUGUGGUAGUGGGGGGCUGCGUUUGCAUUCUCCCCUG